AGAGCGAACGCUGGCGGCGUGCUUAACACAUGCAAGUCGAACGCGCAGCAUUCUGUAGCAAUACAGGGUGUGGGCGCGUGGCGAACGGGUGCGUAACACGUGGAUAACCUUCCUUGAGGUGGGGAAUAACCCAGUGAAAAUUGGGCUAAUACCGCAUAACAUCGCGAUGGCACAUGCUGAUGCGAUCAAAGGCGCAAGUCGCCACAAGAGGGAUCCGCGGCCGAUUAGCUUGUUGGCGAGGUAAUGGCUCACCAAGGCAAUGAUCGGUAGCCGGACUGAGAGGUUGGCCGGCCACACUGGAACUGAGACACGGUCCAGACUCCUACGGGAGGCAGCAGUGGGGAAUCUUGCACAAUGGACGAAAGUCUGAUGCAGCAACGCCGCGUGGGGGAUGAAGCUUCUCGGAGUGUAAACCCCUUUCGACCCGGAAGAAUGCCCGCAAGGGUAUGACGGUACGGGUAUAAGAAGCCCGGCUAACUACGCG
rnacentral:rRNA from 1 species